GUCAGGAUGGCCGAGCGGUCUACGGCGCUGCGUUAAGGUCGCAGUCCACUUAUGUGGGCGUGUGUUCGAAUCCCAACUUCUGACA